UACGUAGGGGGCCAGCGUUAUUCGGAAUCACUGGGCUUAAAGGGUGCGUAGGCGGCGCAGAAAGUAGGGUGUGAAAUCCCUCGGCUCAACCGAGGAACUGCGCUCUAAACUACUGUGCUCGAGGGAGAUAGAGGUGAGCGGAACUUAGGGUGGAGCGGUGAAAUGCGUUGAUAUCCUAAGGAACACCGGUGGCGAAAGCGGCUCACUGGAUCUCUUCUGACGCUGAGGCACGAAAGCUAGGGUAGCAAACGGG
rnacentral:rRNA from 1 species